AUUGAACGCUGGCGGCAUGCUUUACACAUGCAAGUCGGACGAGUGGCGAACGGGUGAGUAACGUCUCGGAACGUACCGAGUAACGGGGGAUAACUGUUCGAAAGGACAGCUAAUACCGCAUACUAUUCGAGCUGCCGAUGUCUGAUUAGCUGGUUGGGGGGGUAAAGGCCCACCUAGGCGACGAUCCGUAGCGGGUCUGAGAGGAUGAACCGCCACACUGGGACUGAGACACGGCCCAUAAUCCUACGGGAGGCAGCAGUGGGGAAUUUUGGACAAUGGGCGCAAGCCUGAUCCAGCCAUGCCGCGUGUCUGAAGAAGGCCUUCGGGUUGUAAAGGACUUUUGUCAGGGAAGCGGUACCUGAAGAAUAAGCACCGGCUAACUACGUGCCAGCCGCCGCGGUAAUAC
rnacentral:rRNA from 1 species